UCCCUGGUAGUCCAGGUGCUAAGACACUGUACUGCCAAUGCAGGAGCCUGGGUUUGAUCCCUGAUCAGGGAA
rnacentral:tRNA from 1 species